rnacentral:rRNA from 1 species
GGAGGUCACCGCUAUUGGAAUCCGCUUAAGCCAUGCGAGUCGAGAGGGUUCGGCCCUCGGCACACUGCUCAGUAACACGCGGACAAUCUGCCCUCGGGAGGGGGAUAACCUCGAGAAAUUGAGAAUAAUACCCCAUAGGUCCAGUAUGCUGGAACGCUUCUGGAUUCAAAGCCGAGACGCCCGAGGAUGAGUCUGCGGCUCAUCAGGUUGUAGUGAGUGUAACGGACUCACUAGCCGACAACGAGUACGGGCCUUGGAAGAGGUCGCCCGGAGAUGGACUCUGAGACACGAGUCCAGGCCCUACGGGGCGCAGCAGGCGCGAAAACUUCGCAAUGUGGGAAACCACGACGAGGGGAUUCCAAGUGCUCAUGGUUUUCCAUGGGCUGUUUUUCUGCCUAAAUAGCAGGGAGAGUAAGGGCUGGGUAAGACGGGUGCCAGCCGCCGCGGUAAUACCCGCAGCCCGAGUGGUGAUCGUUUUUAUUGGGCCUAAAGCGUCCGUAGCCUGUCCAGUAAAUCCUUGGGUAAAUCGGGCAGCUUAACUGUCCGAAUUCCGGGGAGACUGCUGGACUUGGGACUGGGAGAGGUCGGAGGUACUCCGGGGGUAGAGGUGAAAUUCUGUAAUCCUCGGGGGACCACCAGUGGCGAAGGCGUCCGACUUGAACGGGUCCGACGGUGAGGGACGAAGCCCUGGGGCACAAACCGGAUUAGAUACCCGGGUAGUCCAGGGUGUAAACGCUGCGGGCUUGGUGUUGGGGGUCCUACGAGGGCGUCCAGUGCCGGAGAGAAGUUGUUAAGCCCGCCGCCUGGGGAGUACGGUCGCAAGACUGAAACUUAA